rnacentral:rRNA from 1 species
AGAGUUUGAUCCUGGCUCAGAUUGAACGCUGGCGGCAGGCUUAACACAUGCAAGUCGAGCGGGGAAGAGUAGCUUGCUACUUUACCUAGCGGCGGACGGGUGAGUAAUGCUUAGGAAUCUGCCUAUUAGUGGGGGACAACAUCUCGAAAGGGAUGCUAAUACCGCAUACGUCCUACGGGAGAAAGCAGGGGACCUUCGGGCCUUGCGCUAAUAGAUGAGCCUAAGUCGGAUUAGCUAGUUGGUGGGGUAAAGGCCUACCAAGGCGACGAUCUGUAGCGGGUCUGAGAGGAUGAUCCGCCACACUGGGACUGAGACACGGCCCAGACUCCUACGGGAGGCAGCAGUGGGGAAUAUUGGACAAUGGGGGGAACCCUGAUCCAGCCAUGCCGCGUGUGUGAAGAAGGCCUUUUGGUUGUAAAGCACUUUAAGCGAGGAGGAGGCUACCGAGAUUAAUACUCUUGGAUAGUGGACGUUACUCGCAGAAUAAGCACCGGCUAACUCUGUGCCAGCAGCCGCGGUAAUACAGAGGGUGCAAGCGUUAAUCGGAUUUACUGGGCGUAAAGCGCGCGUAGGUGGCCAAUUAAGUCAAAUGUGAAAUCCCCGAGCUUAACUUGGGAAUUGCAUUCGAUACUGGUUGGCUAGAGUAUGGGAGAGGAUGGUAGAAUUCCAGGUGUAGCGGUGAAAUGCGUAGAGAUCUGGAGGAAUACCGAUGGCGAAGGCAGCCAUCUGGCCUAAUACUGACACUGAGGUGCGAAAGCAUGGGGAGCAAACAGGAUUAGAUACCCUG